ensembl:lncRNA
AUGCUGUUUGACCUGUGGGAGCCUUUUCAGCUUCAUCAAGCACUACAAGACCCACCUGUGGAAAAAGUGGCACACCAAGAAUUACACCAAACAGUGGGGGCCGGGUAUGUAUUUUUAGCCCAAGUUGGAGAUAUUGUUCUCUACACAAUGCUCAAAUCCAAAACGCGUCAGGAGCCACUCAUUGGUCUGAACCUGGUGACUGUGUGUGUGACUCGGAACUACUCAGCCCCGCCUCUAUACCUCUGCCAUGCCUGCCAGAUAAUAUGUGACUCUGCUGUAGUCCCUGCACACUUCCACUCCUCCAAUCACUACUUCAACGUACUGGCCCACUACCAGCCAGAUGCACUUCCAUUUGCUUGGCUUCUCUCUAAAGGUAAAUACAUACCUGACCUGAGAGUCUUUGCUGCGAAGGAAGAGAAGAAGCAGACUAGGCAACAGCUUCAGGUGUGUGACAUCUCUGGGGAGCUGUAUGAAGAGCUGACCGGGCUGUCAUAUGAAGAAGCCAAGAAGAAGUUGUCUUCUGUUGAGUUGAAAGGCUGUUACAACGUAGACAAAUGGCAGACAUUGCAGGGCUACCUGAAAGCCUCCAACAGGAAGUAUCCUCUGCUUGGUCUGCAGUACCUGGUGUGUUUCUACACUGAUGGAGCUCCUGUCAGGUCAGCGUUCCUCUGUGUCAUGUGCAGGAUUAAAGUUCCGGAAAGCAGUGCUGUCAGCCACACCCUCAGCUUCCGACACGUGACCCGAUACCUGAAUAAAACCCAUUGUGGGUCAAUAGACUCUGUUACUAUGAAGAAGGGCGUAGUUCUCAUGGCUCUGGCCCGUCAGGCUGAGAGUCUGGACACAUCAGGACAGCCGCAGGAAAUAAAAUUGAACCAGUCAGACUUUUGUGAAGUGGACCACCAGGAUUAUUAUGGCGCUUUCCAUCUAUUACAGAAGCGUACGCAGAAGAAUCUGUUGCCACGUUUUGUUCCGGGGGGAAAACUGGUUUUUGACCAAGUUAAACAUCAGAUUCCAGUUCCUCCCAAAUCCGAGAGUCAACCAAUCAGCCAAUCAGCUGCUGUGAGCACAUCAGUCAUGAACACAUCAACCAACUUAUCAGGACGUAAGGUCCAAGAAGCUGAGCCAGAUGAGGCUCCCAAAACUGACACUUCCAACACAGAUAUCAUACCGCCUGAGAGGUCAGAGGUCACAACCCCUUCAGCCACUGCUUCUCCAGCUACACCCGCACCAGCCACAUCCUCACCUUCAUACAGCAGGACAACCCAACCAAUUCAGCAGGUGUCAGUUCAGACCACUUCAGAACCUAAAAUGAAGCCCCACCCUGAUGACAAGAACUUCUCCAUUGACUUUGCCCCUCCCACCUAUGGUCAGUCAGGACGGAGUCACCUGUCCACCUUCAUCAGACUGUGGAGGCACAGUGAGCCGGUCAUUGGUUUGGGGUGUGUUGUAGAGUGCCGGUGUGUGUCUCGGCCCACGCUGUUCCUGUGCCUCACCUGUGAAGAGAUGGUGACCAGUAAGAACAUAAUCAGUCACAUGACCAGCCAGCGCCACCAAUACCUCUGCAUUAUCUCUCAGUACCCAGUUCAGCUGGAGGUGUGGCAGAGGAGAACCAGUCAGCUGCUGACUGAUGCCGAGCUGCAGGAUCUGGCCAGGAGACUGGCGCGACUGGAAGAGGGCUGGCUGGAUGCUCAGGUUCUCAAGCUUGAGCGGGACUUGUACGAGUAUGUGGGCCGGGCCAGGUUCUCUGAAGCUCUUAAUUUCUUACAGAGGAUUUGUAAGGAUCAGUAUCAGGAGUCACCGUCAGAAUCGGGCACCGGUCAGCAGCAGUUGGCAGCGUCCAGUGCUGGCGUGAAGCGGUCAGCCUCGCCACACGAUGCAGAGGCCAAGCGCCAGAAGGUCUGA